rnacentral:tRNA from 1 species
ACCUCAGCCCUGGCGCAACUGGCCAGGGUACCUGCACCGAACGCCGGCGACCCGGGUUCGAUUCCCGGCCUGUGGUC